rnacentral:lncRNA from 1 species
GAUAUAACUGUCUUCUGAUAUCUUUAUUUACCUGUUUUCUUGUUUCUCCACAUCACAUUUCCAGACUGCAGGCAUUCAGAGGAGAAUCUCCAGAGCCCAGCUGUGUGUCUAUGAUUAGCUAUCAUUCCAUGGAGCAGCCUCUUUAUUUCAGUAAUGAAAGAAGCAGCACUGAUCUGAGAAAUACAUUCAGAGCAGAAUCUCCAGAGCUCAGCUGUGUGUCUAUUAAGAGCAACCACUCGAUGCAGCAGCCUCUUAGUUUCAGUCAUGAAAGAAGCAGCACUGAGCCAAGACUGCAGACAUUUAGAGCAGAGCCUCCAGAGUCCAGCUGUGUGUCUAUGAAGAGCAACCAUUCCAUGGAGCAGCCUCUUUAUUUCAGUAAUGAAAGAAGCAGCUCUGAUCUGAGACUGCAGACAUUCAGAGCAGAACCUCCAGAGCCCAGCUGUGUGUCUUUGAGGAGCAACCACUCGAUGCAGCAGCCUUACAAUUUCAGUAAUGACAAACUUACCACUGAGCUGAGACUGCAGACAUUCAGAGCAGAACCUCCAGAGCCCAGCUGUGUGUCUUUGAGGAGCAACCACUCGAUGCAGCAGCCUUACAAUUUCAGUAAUGAUAAAUUUACCACUGAGCUGAGACUGCAGACAUUCAGAGCAGAACCUCCAGAGCCCAGCUUUGUGUCUAUGAGGAGCAACCACUCGAUGCAGCAGCCUUACAAUUUCAGUAACAAAAAGCUGAGACUGCAGACAUCCGGAGCAGAACCUCCAGAGCCCAGCUGUGUGUCUAUGAGGAGCAACCAUUCGAUGCAGCAGCCUUACAACUUCAGUAACAUCAAAUGUACCACUGAGCUGAGACAGACAUUAAGAGUAGAACCUCCAGAACCCAGCUGUGUGUCUAUGAGGAGCAACCACUCGAUGCAGCAGCCUUUUAAUUUCAGUAACGAAAGAAGCAGCACUGAGCCGAGAGCAGAACCUCCAGAGCCCAGCUGUGUGUCUUUGAGGAGCAACCACUCGAUGCAGCAGCCUUACAAUUUCAGUAACAACAAAUGUAUCACUGAGCUGAGGUGAGAAACCAGCAUGGGAUGAGAGUGAGUUUAAACAGGGUGUUUUUUGUAGUAAGUCUGUUUUUUUCUUUUUUUUGGUCAUCUCCAAUGAAAAGUACUUUUUAACACUACAUUUUUUCUACCUUCCAGUAAAAAAAAAUCAGGCUGCACAGAAUAUUGUUUAAGCAUUGUCAUCACACAGCAUUCAUGUGAAAUAAUCUUUACAGUACAUUGCAGUAUGUGUGACGCCACGUGAAGCAAAUAAAUAAAAAAUGUUACUCA